AGAGUUUGAUCAUGGCUCAGAACGAACGCUGGCGGCGUGCCUAACACAUGCAAGUCGCACGCAGUUAAGGGGGCAACUCCUUGAUUGAGUGGCGCACGGGUGAGUAACACGUAGGUAACCUGCCCUUCACUGGGGAAUAACCUGUCGAAAGACGGGCUAAUUCCGCAUACGUCCAAGACUGCUCCGGCAGAUUUGGGGAAAGGCGGCCCGCAAGGGCUGUCGGUGAUGGAUGGGCCUGCGUACCAUUAGCUAGUUGGUAGGGUAAUGGCCUACCAAGGCUACGAUGGUUAGCUGGUCUGAGAGGAUGAUCAGCCACACUGGAACUGACACACGGUCCAGACUCCUACGGGAGGCAGCAGUGGGGAAUAUUGCGCAAUGGGCGAAAGCCUGACGCAGCAACGCCGCGUGAGGGAUGAAGGUUCUCGGAUUGUAAACCUCUGUCGGGGGGGACAAAACCUAUGCUGGCUAAUAUCCAGCAUAAUUGAUGGUACCCCCAAAGGAAGCACCGGCUAACUCCGUGCCAGCAGCCGCGGUAAUACGGAGGGUGCAAGCGUUGUUCGGAAUUAUUGGGCGUAAAGCGCACGUAGGUGGCUUUAGAAGUCCGGUGUGAAAUCCCUCGGCUUAACCGAGGAAGUGCGCCGGAAACCAUAAAGCUAGAGUAUCGGAGGGGAGAGUAGAAUUCCCAGUGUAGAGGUGAAAUUCGUAGAUAUUGGGAGGAAUACCGGUGGCGAAAGCGACUCUCUGGACGAUUACUGACACUAAGGUGCGAAAGCGUGGGUAGCAAACAGGAUUAGAUACCCUGGUAGUCCACGCCGUAAACGAUGGGUACUAGGUGUCACGGGAUUUGACCCCUGUGGUGCCGUCGCUAACGCAUUAAGUACCCCGCCUGGGAAGUACGGCCGCAAGGUUGAAACUCAAAGGAAUUGACGGGGGCCCGCACAGCGGUGGAGCAUGUGGUUCAAUUCGACGCACGCGAGGAACCUUACCUAGCUGACNUGUAAANAAUCCUGAUGAAGUCGGAGUGCCCGCAAGGGAGCUC
rnacentral:rRNA from 1 species